AAAACUCUAGUAUUUAUAGCCUAAUAUUGGUAGCUUAGUGGGCUUUUGAGAGAGGUCCAAGUCUGAGAUUUUUUCUUUUAUUUAUUUAUUUACUUAUUUAUUUUUUUAAUUUUUUUUUUAAUUUUUUUUUUUCGUUUUUUUUUGCAUAACACGUGGGCUUCGCCUAGCGAGCAUGACAGCUCAUGAACAAACCUUUGCUCCUUCAAGAUUAAC
rnacentral:lncRNA from 1 species